UUGAGGUUUUAUAGCCUGACGUCACUUCCUGACUGCAGAGAUACAGUGUGAACCAGCUGCCUCCUGCUCCUUAGACCAGGCCUUCUCUGCAAUGGAGGACUGCAUCCCUUCCAACUGUAAGCCAAAACAACUACAGCCUUGCCAGACUCCAUGGAACACUCCUUCAAUCCCAGCACUCACAAGGCUAAGGCAGGAAGACUGUGAGUUCGAGGUCAACCUGGACAAACAAAAACUUAAAAGGAACGUGAGAUACAAAAAGUUAAAAUAAUGUGGCUUCUAGGUCAGAACUUCAAGGUCAAAAAGUUAUAAAUGUACUCAAUGCCAUCAAACUGUACACUUAAAUAAAAAUGUGGAAGUUGGA